AGCGGCGGACGGGUGAGUAACGCGUGGGAAUAUGCCCUUCUCUAAGGAAUAGCCUCGGGAAACUGAGAGUAAUACCUUAUACGCCCUUCGGGGGAAAGAUUUAUCGGAGAAGGAUUGGCCCGCGUUAGAUUAGGUAGUUGGUGGGGUAAUGGCCUACCAAGCCUACGAUCUAUAGCUGGUUUGAGAGGAUGAUCAGCCACACUGGGACUGAGACACGGCCCAGACUCCUACGGGAGGCAGCAGUAGGGAAUCUUAGACAAUGGGGGAAACCCUGAUCUAGCCAUGCCGCGUGUGUGAUGAAGGCCUUAGGGUCGUAAAGCACUUUCGCCAGAGAUGAUAAUGACAGUAUCUGGUAAAGAAACCCCGGCUAACUCCGUGCCAGCAGCCGCGGUAAUACGGAGGGGGUUAGCGUUGUUCGGAAUUACUGGGCGUAAAGCGUACGUAGGCGGAUUAGUAAGUUAGAGGUGAAAUCCCAGGGCUCAACCCUGGAACUGCCUUUAAUACUGCUAGUCUUGAGUUCGAGAGAGGUAAGUGGAAUUCCGAGUGUAGAGGUGAAAUUCGUAGAUAUUCGGAGGAACACCAGUGGCGAAGGCGGCUUACUGGCUCGAUACUGACGCUGAGGUACGAAAGUGUGGGGAGCAAACAGGAUUAGAUACCCUGGUAGUCCACACCGA
rnacentral:rRNA from 1 species